rnacentral:lncRNA from 1 species
GACUGAUUGUUCUCAGGAAUCUGUUGUCUCCAGGCAGUUAAGGAGAACAUCAAUCAAUUAUUCUUGCCAAGAUAUGUGCACGUUUUCUUCAUAUGCAUAUUGAAGAAAUUGCGAACUUUUGCGUGUGUGCAGAAUUACACCUUCUGCUAAACCGGAGCCAGAAAGUCACUUCUUUUUUUUUUUUUUUUUUGAGGAAGAUUAGCCCUGAGCUAACAUCCAUGCCCACCUUCCUCCACUUUUUAUAUGUGGGAUGCCUACCACAGCGUGGCUUGCCAAGCGGUGCCAUGUCCGCACCCCGGAUCUGAACCAGUGAACCCCAGGGCGCCGAAGUGGAACAUGGACACUUAACUGCUGUGCCACCGGGCAAGCCCCAAGAAAGUCACUUCUGAAAGUAUAUUUCCCCUCAAAGACUGUUUCUUUAUAAAAGUGCUGAUCUAGGACAUAGCAGCAGUAGAAUCCACUUUGGGAAACUGUGCGAUCACUAACCUGAACGUGGAUGUGGAAGAUAUUACAAUUGUAAGAAUGGUCUAGUAGAAUAAUGAGUUUCAUGGACAAGAAAUCCAGAUGUUUCCCAGACAAGAGAAAAGCAGGAAAAUGGGAGUGACUAAACCCUUGAAGGGCUGUUGGAUCCUCCUGUUACUGCUCAGACCUGUCUCUUCAGAGAAGCAGUGUAGGAUCAACCGAAGAGCCAAGAUGCAGCCUCGCGGAUGUGGGCCUUGGUCUUCCCACUGCCUGUCCUCACAGCCUUGGACACCUCAGAACUCUGUGAAUACGUGAUGCAGGCCAGGAUGCUAACUAACCCCAGUUUGGUUUGGGUUCAUGUGGGAGUUCCAGAAGACCACUGAAAUUUGAUGACCAGGUCGAGAUAACUUUUUUUAAAACCACCUUAUUGAGAUCAGAAGCUACUUAGAGAACAAAGCUUUAGGUUUGGAAUUUUUAGAUAUCCCCAUGCAGUGUCUAGAACAACAAUGUGAUGAAGACAUUCCAGCUCAAAGGAUUUGCCACAGAUCCCACAACUGGUGAAUUGCAG